rnacentral:misc_RNA from 1 species
GAAUAUUGAUUGGAUUAAAGACAAUCAGUGGCAAACCACCGCCAGUAGUAACAUAGCUGCUGAUAAUAGAACCGUCAAUGAAGAUGAUGAUUAUUCAUUUGAUGCUUGGAAUGAUUUUACAAGCUCAACUAGUGUAAAAGUUCCUUCUAUUAAUUCUUUGAAACAAGAUGUUAAUUGCACAAUGCCUUCUGUUGAGCAGGAAUCAGAAAGCUUGUUCAGUGGAACUAGUAACUCAAAGGAUGUUGAUUUUG